rnacentral:pre_miRNA from 1 species
AAUAAGAUUAUUUUUCAGUUUUUGAUACAAUGUUUGACUCUUCAUCUUAUUUAAAAUUAUUUUUAUGAUUAAUAUUUUUAUUGUUAUUAGAUGAUAAAACACAAAUAAUACUUUACACAUAACUAAUUUUUGAAUAUUUCUAUAAUUUUUUUAAAUAAGAUGAUGGUCAGACGCUGGGCACAUAAAUC